UACGUAGGCAGCGAGCGUUGUUCGGAAUUACUGGGCGUAAAGAGUGUGUAGGCGGUGCUCUAAGUUCGGUGUGAAAUCUCCUGGCUUAACUGGGAGGGUGCGCCGGAAACUGGAGGGCUUGAGUGUGGGAGAGGCAAGCGGAAUUCCUGGUGUAGCGGUGAAAUGCGUAGAUAUCAGGAGGAACACCUGUGGUGUAGACAGCUUGCUGGACCAUUACUGACGCUGAGGCACGAAAGCGUGGGUAGCAAACAGG
rnacentral:rRNA from 1 species